rnacentral:rRNA from 1 species
UACGUAGGGUGCGAGCGUUAAUCGGAAUUACUGGGCGUAAAGCGUGCGCAGGCGGUUUGUUAAGACAGAUGUGAAAUCCCCGGGCUUAACCUGGGAACUGCGUUUGAAACUACAAGGCUAGAGUGUGGCAGAGGGGGGUGGAAUUCCACGUGUAGCAGUGAAAUGCGUAGAGAUGUGGAGGAACACCAGUGGCGAAGGCGGCUCACUGGGACGGUACGU